UUUAAUCAACACAUUGAAUGG
rnacentral:piRNA from 1 species